rnacentral:lncRNA from 1 species
CGGAUGAAGCAUCUUGAGGACCUUCUACUUCAGCAGGCAGCAGCUUCGAGGGAGACCCAGGGUCCCACACCGCCAGCACCCGUGGUGGACGUCGCACCAAGGGCGCAGUCCCCCGCGCCCAGUUCUUCACGUGCGGCACCGGCGACCGCACCUCGGGAGGAGGUGGUUGCGGCAUUACCAGUUCAGAGACCGGCCACAGGAGCAGCUUUCCCCGUGAUGGCCGAGGGAGCCGAGCGGGAUCGGCUCAUGGAUCGCCUCAGUGAGUUUAGGAGGUGCAGCCCGAGGACGUUUGAUGGCGAGAACGUC